CGGAAUUCUUAGUUCGUUGCUUAUUUAUUCUUAGAAAGGUGCAACAUACAGUUUCAAGAUAAAGAUAAACUAUAAUUAUAUUAUAGUGUCCAAGUAAGAUUUAGCUAUGCGUCCAUGUGCUCCCCUAGGGAAGAAACCACCAGGGACACAUUCAUCACCUCCACCAUACACUAUCCUCAAUAUUUCUUGAGGUGUUCUUCCAUAUGCAAGUGAAUCUUUGUCACCAGCUAGCACACUUCCCAAAGCUCUGCCCUCAGGACCUUCCAACAUUCGCAUCCCAAGCCCAACAUCUUUCAUACCAUUGUUUCCGAGCUUGUCCCUAAGAAUUGAAAUGCGAUUUGUAAAUGUUUCUACACUCACUCCAUAUGGAUGCACUUGCUCAUUUCUACAAUCAUAUAACAUUGCUCUAAUAACUGCAUCUUGCCCUGACUCUACUCCCAGUAGCCCUGCAACAAGCUAUACACAUACAAAAUAUAAUGGAAAUAUAUUAUUUAUAACAGUUAUAUAUUCAACCUGUCUUUUGAAAUUGGUAAUUAAAUGUAAAAAAUAUCCUCUAAAAUUCAACCAUUAAAUCAAUCAGAAUUAAUCCACAUAUAUUUGUAUAUUGUAUAUAACUACAUGUAUUAUUUCACAUAUAUUAUAUAUAUUUUAUAUUCCAACNNNNNNNUAUAUAUAUAUAUAUAUAUAGGAUUUAGAUCCUCUAAAGUUUAAAUUUCACUUUAGAGAUUAAAGUGUGAUCUUUUACCAUUUAUUUUAUAGGUAGGACCAAAAAUAAAUAUGAAAGAAAAACUAAUCAAUAGUAGAAGAUCAUACUUUAUUCUCUAAAAUAAAAAUCAAACUUUAGAGGAUCCAAUUAUUCAAUUGCAAAAGAGUUCUGAUACGUGUACACUAAAAUCAACCACCAAAAUCUGCUACCAGCUACCAAUAUAAAAUACAUGCUGAAAUACAAAUACACAUUAAAAAUAAACUAAACCACACAUGUAUUUAUGGCUGAUUUUAGUGGCUCAUCUUGCUGUACAAAUAGCAUUUUUUAUUACAAAUAAUCCAAUACAAUAAAGAUGAUGUAAAAUUGUUUUGAUAAAUUUACCUUCUUAGAAGUGGGGUUUUGCAAUUGAGGAUUGGUUCCAACAUAUCCAGUGAGGCCAACAUAAGGAAUUACAUAAGAGGCAAGUAAGUAGUUGAUGACAUUAGCAUAGGGGUCAAAAGGAGGAUGUAGAGAUUCUCCAAAGGCAUUGUCCAUGAUUUCAGCAAAUGCCUCCUUGCUUAUAUUCAAUAAUGGCCUAGGAAACCCCUUUAUUGUUCUUUUUAUGGCCCUGCAAUCAUAAUGCAAUAAUGCAUGCAACUCUUAAGUUUUAUUUUUUUUAAAGGUUUGAAAUGCUAAGAAUUAUAAUUCACUAUUUAAAGAAAAACAUUUUUUUUGAAAAUUUUAAUUCUCAUUUUCUUCUUAAAAGACAAAUUAAUUUAUCACUCUUUCAAACUUAAUACGUCAAGUAUUAAAAAUAUUUUUAUUUACAAUUAAUAAAAUAAUUUUAUUAAAGAUUAAAUUAUACAAAAAGUUAAUUUAUACAAAAAUUAUUCUAAAUUAAAAAUUAAAUUUUAUUCUAUUAAUAUAUUAUAGUCUUUUAAAACUAAAUUUUAAAUAAAAAUAAAUUAUUUUGUUAAAGAAAAUAGAAUUCCGAGCCCUUAGUGUAACUAAAAUAAUAAAGACUAGAGAGUAGAGAGAACCUCAAAUGUCCAACUUCUUGAUAAGCAAACUGCAAGAUGACAUCUCUAGUGAAUGCAUCAAGAUUGGCCUUUUUGCCUCCAAUGGGAGGAGGUCCUCCUUGGGCCAAUUCAGGAUCAACAGCAUCUAAUCCACAACCACUAGCACCGUACAAGAAGAAUUCAGCCUCCAAAUAUUCUAAGUUUAGAGGAAAUUCCAGAAGAUCAACAUCAGAUUUUGGGGAUAAACUUACAAUAGGAUUAAAAGAGUAAGAUCUUGGAACAAGGAUGGAAAGAACUAAGAAAGUUACUAUAAC
rnacentral:lncRNA from 1 species